AAAGGGUGGGUAAGGAUAAUUGAUUUAAAUAUCUGCAUGGUGGGAGGAGCCAAAGUGUGGGAGGGGCACUGUAUUUCAAGUUUGGAGAGAUAUUUAACUGCAGGUACUUUGAGUAGAAGUGAAAGGGACAGAGGGAUGGGCAAAUUACAGCAACCCUCUGGAUUUCAGAAUGUUCCAUUGCUUUUCCUACAAUUUGGAUUUUAAAACAAGGGUAAAGGCAAAGACAAGCAGCCCAUACCUUAAGUAGUUGUAACAACCCCUUGGCAGCUGGUGUAGGAAGACCAUGAGCUGGAAGUCCACAUGAGAACACUGGAACCUUCAAGAUGCUGGGAGUAUUUGUUGAAGUGAGUCUGAAAGCAAAACUCAAUGGAUAUAAACAGAUUUCCCUACCAAAACUUCUUUCUCAGAAGAGGAGAUUACUUCCCUACAUUGUUCCUACUACUUGCAAGAAUGAACUGGCUGAUUGAGAUUGUCUGCUUGAUUCAGACCAAGGGAGAUCCCAAGUGGACCCAAUCUCUGCCCAUCUGGGAUCGCUCACCCUGGAUAGAGACUGAUGUAGGAUAUGAUACAUUAAUCAAAAA
rnacentral:sRNA from 1 species